CUGAGCAUGAAGGUUGAACAAAGGUGGGGUUCUGUCCAGGUUUAAGCUUAAUUUAAAUUUUAAGUAAAAAUGCUUAAAUGGUUUAGGGGGACGAUAAGACCCUUAAAGCUUUAUUUGGUGUAAUAGUUUAAGUAAAAACGAAAAAUUAUCUGGGGUAGUUACUUUAUUAAAAAUUAAGGGGAGAGGCUCUAGUAAGAUUAAAGGUCCUUAAAAUUAAGAAAGGUGGAGAAAGUUACUUUAGGGAUAACAGUAUAAUUAACCCGGGGAGUUCGUAUCUAUGGGUCAGGUUAUAACCUCGAUGUUGAAUUAGGUUUAGCUGCAGGGGAGAAGAGGCAGAGAUUGGGUUUGUUCAACCCUUAGUAGUUUACAUGAUUU
rnacentral:rRNA from 1 species